AAGACCUUACUUGAACAAGAUCUGUUCUGUAGGAUUGUAUCUUGGAAUCCUUGAGCUCUAAGGAGUCAGGGCACCCAAAAUCUGGUGGAUGAACAAAAGCUCUCUUGGACAGAGCGUGAUUAGUGGCUCUGUGGUGCGCGGCUUGCUGGUCCACAGUUACACUGGGGAUCGUUCUCAGCUAAUGCAAACUGGCUGUGAGGAAUAUUUGGUAAUUU